GGGUUGUGAGGUUAAGCGACUAAGCGUACACGGUGGAUGCCCUGGCAGUCAGAGGCGAUGAAGGGCGUGCUAAUCUGCGAUAAGCGCCGGUAAGGUGAUAUGAACCGUUAUAACCGGCGAUACCCGAAUGGGGAAACCCAGUGUGAUUCGUCACACUAUCAUUAACUGAAUCCAUAGGUUAAUGAGGCGAACCGGGGGAACUGAAACAUCUAAGUACCCCGAGGAAAAGAAAUCAACCGAGAUUCCCCCAGUAGCGGCGAGCGAACGGGGAGGAGCCCAGAGCCUGAAUCAGCAUGUGUGUUAGUGGAAGCGUCUGGAAAGGCGCGCGAUACAGGGUGACAGCCCCGUACACAAAAGCGCAUGUGCUGUGAGCUCGAUGAGUAGGGCGGGACACGUGGUAUCCUGUCUGAAUAUGGGGGGACCAUCCUCCAAGGCUAAAUACUCCUGACUGACCGAUAGUGAACCAGUACCGUGAGGGAAAGGCGAAAAGAACCCCGGCGAGGGGAGUGAAAAAGAACCUGAAACCGUGUACGUACAAGCAGUGGGAGCACAGGUUUACCUGUGUGACUGCGUACCUUUUGUAUAAUGGGUCAGCGACUUAUAUUCUGUAGCAAGGUUAACCGAAUAGGGGAGCCGGAGGGAAACCGAGUCUUAAUUGGGCGUUAAGUUGCAGGGUAUAGACCCGAAACCCGGUGAUCUAGCCAUGGGCAGGUUGAAGGUUGGGUAACACUAACUGGAGGACCGAACCGACUAAUGUUGAAAAAUUAGCGGAUGACCUGUGGCUGGGGGUGAAAGGCCAAUCAAACCGGGAGAUAGCUGGUUCUCCCCGAAAGCUAUUUAGGUAGCGCCUCGUGAA
rnacentral:rRNA from 1 species